CUGGAGAUGAUGUACACAUGGACAGCUGAUGCUCACUGAUGGUGUUUGUAUUCAUACUGUCUGAUCCAG